rnacentral:sRNA from 1 species
GAAGCGCGUCGUAUAGCUGUUGUCGUGGAACUUCGGGUGGCUGAUGAUAGCCUCGAGGAAGGUGAGGUUGGUCGCCACGCCGCGGAUGCGGAAUUCUC